AACAGGUUACAGCCAGAAAUGCUGGGUGAGACACGGAAGGCGGUGGUCUGAGACCUCUGCAUCCGGUGGACAGUCAGGACUUAAUGACACCACCAGGUUGAAGAGAGUCUCCCCCCAAAUCUGUGUCCCUGGAAUCUCAGAAGAUGACCUGUCUUUGUGAAUGUCACAGCACCUGCCUGUAUUGGGUGUAAAGGAUCCUGAGAGCGACAGCUUGUGACGUCCUCCUGAGUGAUGCUGAGGUGAUGCAGUCCCGUGGUCUUCAGCCUGCAAAGCCAUUUUGCCCAAGAAGCCCCAUUCCCGGGGCAUCCUGCCAUACGAGAAAGGCUGCCAGGGCUAAAGACGUUACAGACAAAGCACCUACCUUCCUGAAGCCUGUGACUCCCGACGGCGUCCCUGGAGGACGUCCCGGCGUGAAGGCUGGACGUUGUCCUGUACGGUGAAUCAGAUGACUCCUCUGCUCGACCCAGUCCAUCUCCAAGGGGGAGCAUGAACAUCAGGCAUCAUCACCACAGAUCUCCAAUACCGUUUGUGUUAAAUGGAUGCUAUGGGGCCUCCCGCGUAGGAUGGUAUGAAGUAUGGAGAGAGAUGGGAGCUGCUCAAAUGGACACUCACCUUCCUCCUCCUCUCCGUCCCCAGGGGCUCCAUCCACACGGCCUUUCCUGCUUCUCGAGGCUCCGUCCUGAGACCUGCCUGGGCACAUCCACACUUGUGGAGCCAGAGGCAGCCUCAGGGCCUGAACGCUGGCACCUGUCUGUGGAGCAGCCGGGAUUCCUCGGGGAAAAGAGAAACAGGUACCGAUGUCCCUGCAGCCUGGGGUCCAGGUAACGGUCUCGGUAACUACCCACUUCCCCAUCUGCUGCUGAGACAUCUGUCCCCCCCGAGAACCCCAGCCCAGGGCUAAGGAGACCUUACAUCCUCCGGGGGCAGCCCCCUGCUGACCCUUCACUCUGGGUCCAGAAACAGUCCUGACGAAUCCGCCCGUCACAUAGCCCCGGGGUGUUGGCGAUUUUGUUAAUUCCGGUCUCUUCCUGUUCUAGAAUUUAUGAAUCCCCCAUUGCUCAGUUAGCUGGACCCCCAGAGCCGUAAUAACCACACUGGUUUUUUGUUGUUGUUCCCCCUCUGGGGUCAUCCCCCGCCUGUGAUCUGGGAUCAAAGCUUUUUUUUCUUUUUAGGGCCGUGACUGCAGCAUGUGGAAGUGCCCAGACUAUAGGGGUUGAAUCGGAGCUGCAGCUGCCAGUCUACACCGCAGCCAUGUGGGGUCCAAGCCACUUCUGUGACCUACACCACAGCUCACGACAGAGGCCAGAUCCUUAACCCAGGGAGUCCCCAUACUUCUCAUGAGAAGAUCUCCUGAGCAGUUCCCUGAGGCCGACAGAAAGGGGGAACUGCCUGGGCGGACACCGGUGAGUCCCUGAGUCACAAAGGGCUGUCAGCACCACCCUGAGGUCCUCCAGGGGCCUUGCUUCCAGCACUGGAGUCCCUUGAUUCCUCCCAGAAAAUAUUAGAGAGUCCAUCUCGGAUGGUUCCAUUCCUGGACCUCCUCCCAGAGGUUACAGACUGUGAGUCUAGACCCUAGAAUAGAAGGAUGACAUUGGACAGGUUCAUCAUUUUGCCAUUAACUCAUAUGUCCUUGAGUUGCACGGGACCGGGCUGGGCUGAGCUGGCUUUUAAGUGUUGGCUGUCUAUCAGGUCUCGCUGGGAAACCGAUGGUUGGUUCCAACGUGUCAGCGGCUUUGAGAGUUUUUAGAGAUUCCCCAAGAGAAAUCACUCUCUGCCAUCAAAUGACCACAGCAGAAUGACCGCAGUGCUCACAGCGCUAAGACUCCCCAUGAAGCCGUCUGCUCUGCUCCUGGGACGUCAGGUCAUAAGAGCUGGAAGGACCUCGCCAUCUCGGUGACAGUGACUACAAUUGGGAUUAACUUUCGGAGCAGAUGCUCAAUGGCUGUCUGCUUCCCACCUCUGUCACUGACGACUUUCCAGGCACCCUCCCACCCUGGGUGCACAUGCCCACUGCCCUGCACAGAUGCACACAUGCAGACACAGACUUGUACAGAGAUGACACAUACACACCUGUACACACACGCUCACAUAAAGACACAAUUAUAGACACAUGCAUACACAAAACAUACAACAUGGGCAGACAUGCACAGACACGCAGAAACAGAUACACACACGCACAAAGACUCACAUAACACACAAGACCACACCCUCACACGGACACCCCUGUGCACACAGUGAGUUCUCUAAGAAUCCAAAAACCACUCUCCUGCCUUCUCUUUAACCAAGUUCAAAAACUACAGAUUUAUGUCCUUUCAUUUUUCUGAAUUGAAAAUACAACCAACAGUUC
rnacentral:lncRNA from 1 species